CUCCUGAAGGAACGUUGAAGACGACGACGUUGAUAGGCCGGGUGUGUAAGCGCAGCGAUGCGUUGAGCUAACCGGUACUAAUGAACCGUGAGGCUUAACCUUAC
rnacentral:rRNA from 3 species